GAUCAUGGCUCAGGAUGAACGCUAGCGGCAGGCCUAACACAUGCAAGUCGAGGGGCAGCAUAAAAGUAGUAAUACUUUUGAUGGCGACCGGCGCACGGGUGCGUAACGCGUAUGCAACCUACCCAGAACAGGGGGAUAACACUGAGAAAUUGGUACUAAUAUCCCAUAAUAUCAUGAAGGGCAUCCUUUAUGGUUGAAAACUCCGGUGGUUCUGGAUGGGCAUCCGUUGUAUUAGCUAGUUGG
rnacentral:rRNA from 1 species